rnacentral:rRNA from 1 species
AGUGAAGGCUGGCGGUAGGCCUAACACAUGCAAGUCGAACGGCAGCACAGUAAGAGCUUGCUCUUACGGGUGGCGAGUGGCGGACGGGUGAGGAAUACAUCGGAAUCUACUUUUUCGUGGGGGAUAACGUAGGGAAACUUACGCUAAUACCGCAUACGACCUACGGGUGAAAGCAGGGGAUCUUCGGACCUUGCGCGAUUGAAUGAGCCGAUGUCGGAUUAGCUAGUUGGCGGGGUAAAGGCCCACCAAGGCGACGAUCCGUAGCUGGUCUGAGAGGAUGAUCAGCCACACUGGAACUGAGACACGGUCCAGACUCCUACGGGAGGCAGCAGUGGGGAAUAUUGGACAAUGGGCGCAAGCCUGAUCCAGCCAUACCGCGUGGGUGAAGAAGGCCUUCGGGUUGUAAAGCCCUUUUGUUGGGAAAGAAAAGCAGCAGGUUAAUACCCCGCUGUUCUGACGGUACCCAAAGAAUAAGCACCGGCUAACUUCGUG